CCUACGGGUGGCAGCAGUGAGGGAUAUUGGUCAAUGGGGGAAACCCUGAACCAGCAACGCCGCGUGAGGGAAGACGGUUUUCGGAUUGUAAACCUCUGUCCUCUGUGAAGAUGAUGACGGUAGCAGAGGAGGAAGCUCCGGCUAACUACGUGCCAGCAGCCGCGGUAAUACGUAGGGAGCAAGCGUUGUCCGGAUUUACUGGGUUUAAAGGGAGCGUAGGCCGGCUUUUAAGUCAGCUGUGAAAGUCCGCGGCUCAACCGUGGAAUUGCAGUUGAAACUGGAGGCCUUGAGUGCACACAGGGAUGCCGGAAUUCAUGGUGUAGCGGUGAAAUGCUUAGAUAUCAUGAAGAACUCCGAUCGCGAAGGCAAGUGUCCGGGGUGCAACUGACGCUGAGGCUCGAAAGUGCGGGUAUCAAACAGGAUUAGAUACCCUGGUAGUC
rnacentral:rRNA from 1 species